rnacentral:rRNA from 1 species
AGCGCAGGUGGUUGUAUAAGUCUGAAGUAAAAGGCAGUGGCUCAACCAUUGUGUGCUUUGGAAACUGUACAACUUGAGUGCAGAAGGGGAGAGUGGAAUUCCAUGUGUAGCGGUGAAAUGCGUAGAUAUAUGGAGGAACACCGGUGGCGAAAGCGGCUCUCUGGACUGUAACUGACACUGAGGCACGAAAGCGUGGGAGCAAACA